rnacentral:rRNA from 1 species
AUAGAAUUAUUGCUGCGGUUAAAAAGCUCGUAGUUGGAUCUGUGCCGGUGGACCCGGUCCACUCGAAAGGGUGCGCACUGGGCUCCCCGGCUUUCUGCCGGUUUUCCCGUCGUGGUCUUAACUGGUUGCGGCGGGUGGCUGGCGAUUUUACUUUGAACAAAUCAGAGUGCUUAAAACAGGCGUUUCGCUUGAAUGUUCGUGCAUGGAAUAAUAGAAAAGGAUUUCGGUUCUAUUUUAUUGGUUUUAUAGACUGAGAUAAUGGUUAACAGAGACAAACGGGGGCAUUCGUAUUGCUGCGUGAGAGGUGAAAUUCUUGGACCGCAGCAAGACGAACUACAG